CUACGGGCCGCUGCAGUAGGGAAUAUUGCACAAUGGGCGAAAGCCUGAUGCAGCAACGCCGCGUGUGCGAUGACGGCCUUCGGGUUGUAAAGCACUUUUCGGGGAGAUGAGAAAGGACAGUAUCCCCGGAAUAAGGCUCGGCUAACUACGUGCCAGCAGCCGCGGGAAAACGUAGGAGUCAAGCGUUAUCCGAAUUUACUGGGCGUAAAGCGCGUGCAGGCGGUUUGGAAAGUUGGAUGUAAAAGCUCCUGGCUCAACUGGGAGAGGACGUUCAAAACUACCAGACUAGAGGACAGUAGAGGGAGGUGGAAUUCCCGGUGUAGUGGUGAAAUGCGUAGAUAUCGGGAGGAACACCAGUGGCGAAGGCGGCCUCCUGGGCCGUUCCUGACGCUCAGACGCGAAAGCUAGGGUAGCAAACGGGAUUAGAUACCCUGGUAGUC
rnacentral:rRNA from 1 species